UCUGCUGUCACAUAAACAGUGUGAUUUCAGCUGCUAUUCACCCUUUAUUGGCUCUCAUUUGUGAUUUAACAGCCAUCAAUGACUGUGCUAUAAAGAAUAAAUUAACCAUCCGUAAACCCUACGAUGACAGGGACAGUCAAAUAGACUGGAUUGCCUUCUGCCCAGCUCGCGGAGCCUACAGAGACCAGGUGAAGUCCAGAAGUGAAAAAGAACCCAAGACAUACUGCCUGCAGAAAAUUCAGCUUGGAAGUGUCUGUGUUUACAGCAAAGGAGGGAGGCUGUCAGAAGAUGGCCUUGAGGGUUCUCUAAUCGGCCUUUUUGGAGGACGAGACUGGAAUGUGCCGAUGAUAUAUCUCCCAUUUCAUGGCAUUCAGAAAUCCUCAAUGAUGGCAAUCUGUAGGGAAGAAAUAAACGGCAACUUGCUGAGCACGUCUAACCAUGAUAUAUAGACUCUGGUACAGACUUGGGUUUCUUUGGAGCUUCAAAGGAGACCUUCCUCUGUUAUUGUUAGCCUGUGCAUUGGACAAACAAGACCAUUCGAGUUCCAAAACGCUGGAAAACAGCCGACAGCUAGGCCUCAGGAU